rnacentral:rRNA from 1 species
GAUGAACGCUGGCGGCGUGCCUAAUACAUGCAAGUCGAGCGAACAGACGAGGAGCUUGCUCCUCUGACGUUAGCGGCGGACGGGUGAGUAACACGUGGAUAACCUACCUAUAAGACUGGGAUAACUUCGGGAAACCGGAGCUAAUGCCGGAUAAUAUAUUGAACCGCAUGGUUCAAUAGUGAAAGAUGGUUUUGCUGUCACUUAUAGAUGGAUCCGCGCCGCAUUAGCUAGUUGGUAAGGUAACGGCUUACCAAGGCAACGAUGCGUAGCCGACCUGAGAGGGUGAUCGGCCACACUGGAACUGAGACACGGUCCAGACUCCUACGGGAGGCAGCAGUAGGGAAUCUUCCGCAAUGGGCGAAAGCCUGACGGAGCAACGCCGCGUGAGUGAUGAAGGUCUUCGGAUCGUAAAACUCUGUUAUUAGGGAAGAACAAAUGUGUAAGUAACUGUGCACGUCUUGACGGUACCUAAUCAGAAAGCCACGGCUAACUACGUG